rnacentral:rRNA from 1 species
GACGAACGCUGGCGGCGUGCUUAACACAUGCAAGUCGAACGGAAAGGCCCUGCUUUUGUGGGGUGCUCGAGUGGCGAACGGGUGAGUAACACGUGAGUAACCUGCCCUUGACUUUGGGGUAACUUCAGGAAACUGGGGCUAAUACCGGAUAGGAGAUCCUGCUGCAUGGUGGGGGUUGGAAAGUUUCGGCGGUUGGGGAUGGACUAGCGGCUUAUCAGCUUGUUGGUGGGGUAGGGGAUUACCAAGGCUUUGACGGGUAGCCGGCCUGAGCGGGUGGACGGCCACAGUGGUACUGCGAUAGGGACCAGACUCCUACGGGAGGCAGCAGUGGGGAAUAUGGCACAAUGGGCGGAAGCCUGAGGCAGCAACGCCGCGUUCGGGAUGACGGCUUUCGGGUUGUAAACCGCUUUCGCCUGUGACGAAGCGGGAUUGACGGUAAUGGGUAAAGAAGCACCGGCUAACUACGUG